UGACAACCUGGUUGAUCCUGCCAGUAGUCAUAUGCUUGUCUCAAAGAUUAAGCCAUGCAUGUCUCAGUACAAGCCGCGUUAAGGUGAAACCGCGAAAGGCUCAUUAAAUCAGUUAUGGUUCCUUAGAUCGUACCCACACUUACUUGGAUAACUGUGGUAAUUCUAGAGCUAAUACAUGCAAACAGAGCUCCGACCGGAGACGGAAGGAGUGCUUUUAUUAGAUCAAAACCAAUCGGCGGCGGGUGCGUUCGCGCGCUCCCGUCCGCCGCUCGACCUGGUGACUCUGAAUAACUUUCUGCUGAUCGCACGGUCUCGCACCGGCGACGCAUCUUUCAAAUGUCUGCCUUAUCAACUGUCGAUGGUAGGUUCUGCGCCUACCAUGGUCGUAACGGGUAACGGGGAAUCAGGGUUCGAUUCCGGAGAGGGAGCCUGAGAAACGGCUACCACAUCCAAGGAAGGCAGCAGGCGCGCAAAUUACCCACUCCCGGCACGGGGAGGUAGUGACGAAAAAUAACGAUACGGGACUCAUCCGAGGCCCCGUAAUCGGAAUGAGUACACUUUAAAUCCUUUAACGAGGAUCGAUUGGAGGGCAAGUCUGGUGCCAGCAGCCGCGGUAAUUCCAGUUCCAAUAGCGUAUAUUAAAGUUGUUGCGGUUAAAAAGCUCGUAGUUGAAUCUGUGUCUCGCGCUGUCGGUUCACCGCCCGCGGUGUCAAACUGGCACGUUCGCGAGACGUCCUGCCGGUGGGACGAGGUCGACGCGCGGUCUCCGGGCCGCCGUCGGCGCGUCCCGACUCAGAAUCCUGUCGCGGUGCUCUUCACCGAGUGUCGAGGCGGGCCGGCACGUUUACUUUGAACAAAUUAGAGUGCUCAAAGCAGGCUAAAACUUCGCCUGAAUACUGUGUGCAUGGAAUAAUGGAACAGGACCUCGGUUCUAUUUUGUUGGUUUUCGGAACCCCGAGGUAAUGAUUAAUAGGGACAGAUGGGGGCAUUCGUAUUGCGACGUUAGAGGUGAAAUUCUUGGAUCGUCGCAAGACGGACAGAAGCGAAAGCAUUUGCCAAAAAUGUUUUCAUUAAUCAAGAACGAAAGUCAGAGGUUCGAAGGCGAUCAGAUACCGCCCUAGUUCUGACCAUAAACGAUGCCAGCUAGCGAUCCGCCGACGUUCCUCCGAUGACUCGGCGGGCAGCUUACGGGAAACCAAAGCUUUUGGGUUCCGGGGGAAGUAUGGUUGCAAAGCUGAAACUUAAAGGAAUUGACGGAAGGGCACCACCAGGAGUGGAGCCUGCGGCUUAAUUUGACUCAACACGGGAAACCUCACCA
rnacentral:rRNA from 1 species